GAUGAACGCUGGCGGCGUGCCUAAUACAUGCAAGUCGAGCGAACAGACGAGGAGCUUGCUCCUCUGACGUUAGCGGCGGACGGGUGAGUAACACGUGGAUAACCUACCUAUAAGACUGGGAUAACUUCGGGAAACCGGAGCUAAUACCGGAUAACAUGUUGAACCGCAUGGUUCAACAGUGAAAGACGGUCUUGCUGUCACUUAUAGAUGGAUCCGCGCCGCAUUAGCUAGUUGGUAAGGUAACGGCUUACCAAGGCAACGAUGCGUAGCCGACCUGAGAGGGUGAUAGGCCACACUGGAACGGAGACACGGUCCAGACUCCUACGGGAGGCAGCAGUAGGGAAUCGUCCGCAAUGGGCGAAAGCCUGACGGAGCAACGCCGCGUGAGUGAAGAAGGUCUUCGGAUCGUAAAACUCUGUUAUUAGGGAAGAACAAAUGUGUAAGUAACUAUGCACGUCUUGACGGUACCUAAUCAGAAAGCCACGGCUAACUACGUG
rnacentral:rRNA from 1 species